rnacentral:tRNA from 1 species
GGGGCUAUAGCUCAGCUGGGAGAGCGCCUGCUUUGCACGCAGGAGGUCUGCGGUUGAAUCCCGCAUAGCUCCACCA